GCGCGUGUGGCGGAAUUGGCAGACGCACUAGACUUAGGAUCUAGCGUCAUUGACGUGGGGGUUCAAGUCCCUCCACGCGCA
rnacentral:tRNA from 4 species